UCCUGAUGCCCAUACAAAUGCCAUUCGGGUUCUUUCGGCUGACACACACACGCAACUGCUCUUUCUCUCUCUCUCUCUGCGUCGGUCACACCUUCCUAUUGGUUUGAAUGUUGAAACCCUAAUUCGCGGCCAUGGGAGACAGUACAGACAUGAGGAAGAAGAUAUUGCAAGAACUCUUAUUCUACGCAGCCAGCGCCGCACUAAGCUGUUUAGUUUUGUUCGCAGGACUUCGACGCCUAGACAACACCAAUCGUGACGCCUCCAAAAAAGCACUCGAACAAAAGAGACAACUCUCCAAGCGAUUAGGUCGUCCUCUCAUUCACACCACUCCUUACGAGGAUGUGAUAGCAUGCGAUGUCGUGAAUCCGGACCACAUCGAUGUGGAAUUCGAUUCUAUUGGGGGAUUGGAGAACAUUAAGCAGUCGUUGUUCGAAUUGGUGAUUCUUCCCUUGCGUAGGCCGCAAUUGUUUGCCUAUGGAAAGCUUCUUGGUCCCCAAAAGGGUGUGUUGUUGUACGGCCCUCCCGGGACUGGCAAGACCAUGCUUGCCAAGGCCAUUGCGAAGGAGUCUGGUGCUGUGUUCAUCAAUGUUAGGGUUUCCAAUUUGAUGAGUAAAUGGUUUGGUGAUGCUCAGAAACUAGUGUCAGCUGUGUUCACCUUGGCCAAUAAGCUCCAGCCUGCAAUCAUCUUCAUUGAUGAGGUUGACAGUUUUUUGGGACAACGCCGUGCGACAGAUAACGAAGUGUUGACAAACAUGAAAACUGAAUUCAUGGCUUUGUGGGAUGGUUUUACCACAGAUCAGAAUGCUCGAGUUAUGGUCCUUGCUGCAACCAAUCGGCCAGCUGAUCUUGAUGAGGCAAUACUUAGGCGUCUACCUCAGGUAUUUGAGAUUGGAAAACCUGAUCUUGGUGAUAGAGAGAAGAUAUUGAAGGUGAUUUUAAAGGGUGAGAGAUUAGAUGAUAAUAUUCACUUCAACCACAUUGCUAGCUUGUGUGAGGGGCACACUGGUUCAGAUUUGCUUGAGCUUUGCAAGCAGGCGGCCUAUUUUCCUCUGAGGGAUUUCUUACAAGAGGAAAAGAGUGGGAAACGGCCUCUUGAACCAAGGCCUUUGUCACAGUUGGACCUCGAGAAAGCUUUCGCUACAUCAAGAAAGACGAAGUUCAGCAUGAGUGAACAUAGUAGGUUGAGUUAUUGGUCAUCACCUAGCGGGCAAGAUGAUUAUCAGGUCUAAGUUUACAAUAGUAGGGCCUUAUUAAGUUCUUGGUGUCUCAAAUAUCACCCUUCAGUUAGACGCUGAUAACCGUUUAGAUUAACUCUUUUUCAUCUUAGUUUAAGGACUCCUAGAAUUAUUCUGAAAGUAGCAGGCAUUCUCAAGAUUCGAUUGGAUGUCUACGUAAUUCAAUACUUGGAUAAAGAUGUAUUGUUUGACGAAUAUAUUUAUAUAUAUUUUUUCUUUCGGGGUGGCACAGGUUUGCAUUCCGAUUUAGAUUCAAGUUAUAACUGCUCUGUAAUGGGUCUAACCGUCAUAUGUUACUAUAUUUUUCUUGUCACUUGUUUUCUAUGAUGUUGUA